rnacentral:lncRNA from 1 species
AUGGAGGUAGAUAUGUAUAGGGGUAAGGUACUAUAUACAGGGUCAGUUCCAGUAGCAUAUUUACAAUGUGCAGGGAUACUGGAGUGGUGGAGGUAGAUAUGUAUAGGGGUAAGGUACUAUAUACAGGGUCAGUUCCAGUAGCAUAUUUACAAUGUGCAGGGAUACUGGAGUGAUAGAGGUAGAUAUGUAUAGGGGUAAGGUGACAGGGAUACUGGAGUGAUGGAGGUAGAUAUGCAUAGGGGUAAGGUACUAUAUACAGGGUCAGUUCCAGUAGCAUAUUUACAAUGUGCAGGGAUACUGGAGUGAUGGAGGUAGAUAUGUAUAGGGGUAAGGUACUAUAUACAGGGUCAGUUCCAGUAGCAUAUUUACAAUGUGCAGGGAUACUGGAGUGAUGGAGGUAGAUAUGUAUAGGGGUAAGGUACUAUAUACAGGAUCAGUUCCAGUAGCAUAUUUACAAUGUGCAGGGAUACUGGAGUGAUAGAGGUAGAUAUGUAUAGGGGUAAGGUGACAGGGAUACUGGAGUGAUGGAGGUAGAUAUGUAUAGGGGUAAGGUACUAUAUACAGGGUCAGUUCCAGUAGCAUAUUUACAAUGUGCAGGGAUACUGGAGUGAAGAAACUUGAAGAAACUUGAAAUGUUCUUUAAAUUUUCCAGAUUGACUGACCUUCAUGUCUUAAAGUAAUGAUGGACUGUCGUUUCUCUUUGCUUAUUUGAGCUGUUCUUGCCAUAAUAUGGACUUGGUCUU